AAGCUCCAAACUCAGUUGUAAAAAUAAAUCUAAUCAGCUCAUGCACUGAAACAUGUCAGGGUUCAAUCAGACACUUUACCACUCUUCCGUAACCACCAGUGUGUCUUUCCUUUCUGGUAUAGAUAAUGAACAUGCUGAAGUUCUUCGUUCCCAAAGUACCGCGCAUGAUCGAUGACAUCAAGGUCAACGGUCAGCGACCCGACCUUGACCUCAUCACGAUGAAGACCAAACAGCCAAUGGCGUUGUCCGAGCUGCAUCUUCACAAAGACAGACCUUUUGUCGUCCUGUCGUCUUCUCUUUCCUGACCCCCGUUUCAGGCCUGUGUCCUGGGUGGAACUCUCGCCGUACUGUUCCACGAGUACAAGGACCGGGCCGACUUCCUCUGCGUCUAUCUCGCCGAGGCCCACCCCACCGAACACUUCAACCUCAACACCACCUUCAAAGUCCCACAGCACCAGACGGAAGAGGAGAGGGUCGCUGCUGCAUACGAGUUGCUGACCGAAGACAGAAAACACCAUCGGACGUUUACGGAUGACCCCCUCGACGACAGCUUGAUUCGUAUCGUUACAGACACCAUGACAAACGACUUCGCCCAGGUGUACAAUGCUCACCCGGACAGAGUUUUCGUCUUCCAAGGAGACGCUGUCAUUUAUGUCGGUGAUCAAAUCAGCAAACAGAUGAUGAACCCGGACGUUCUCAUUACAGACACGACCAGAAGUUGGCUGCAAGACUACUUUCAAGACAACAUCGACUAAGAUAGACUUUCUGGUAUUUUCAUUCACCUUGUAAGGCUCAUUUUCGAUCAGGGAUGAUCGAUUGCAACAAAAAUGACACAAACAUUUUAUUCCACCGUGAAUCUCCGGGUAAUUUUCAAUCCUUGAUAAUACUUGAUGUGAAAAACUGUUAAACAUCUUUUCCAGCAAAACAUGACGAUGGUUCAACUUAGAUCAACAAAUUUAGAUCAGACUUUCUCAUUUAGUGUAGACUUUUCCUAACCAGCACUGGCAGAACUACAUUCUCAAAGGUAUUUUAAUCAUUCACGGAAAGAUAAAACACAUUAGCACAGUUUUGGGACACGACAUCAAUAAAAGUUAAUACAUGUACAAAAAAAUUAUCCAUUGAAAAAUAAGGCUAGCUCUUGUAAUCAAAUGUUAUCACUUCAGAGAGGGCUACUAAAGUUGCUAUGAACUCUCAGCUUCCAUACAUCUAUACGGUCACAUUAUUCAAUAUAGGCCUAUUCAAUCUUAUAAUGCACUAUCCAUAAAACUGCACUUAAUGUAAUCUGCCGCACCUCCAAAUACAUCUACAGCCACUUAACUGAUAAAGGCCCAAGUAUUUAUACGGCCCAAAUGUGUACGUAUCUAACAAACAAAAUUGUCUGCGAAUUCUUCAAACUUGUAUUUUACUCAGACGUAUUUAAGACUUUUUUUUUUUUUUUUUUACAAAGUAUCUCCUCCGGAUCGUAUAUGUGUUUCUAUGUCUGAAAGUUUUGAGUUCAUAAAAAUUAUUUUGUUGGUAGAAAGGGAUAUAGCAAAACGUAAGGGCGCCCUCACUGGCAACAGUAAAAUCUGAAGAGCUGAUGACGACCAGCUGGAAAACGCCUGUCGCUAGGCGACCAGAUGGUUUGAUGAAAAUGUCUUUGCCAUAUUGGACCAGUGAGGACGCCUGUCGUUUUCUAUAUGUUCCUCAAGUUUAUAUAAUCACAUGUAAAGGGUUUAUAUAUUUAUGGAGUAUUCUGUAGUCCAUUGUUAUACCUAUAAUCUAUCUGAGCUCACUGGAAAAACAAUAAAAAAAAAUUGUGACUGGAUGAAGGUUAAAAAGUGAACUUGACUAUUAUGAGAUGUGUUGUGCAACAUGUAUUUUAGCAG